AUUGAACGCUGGCGGCAGGCCUAACACAUGCAAGUCGAGCGAGCGGCGGACGGGUGAGUAAUGUAUGGGGACUGCCCGAUAGAGGGGGAUAACUACUGGAAACGGUGGCUAAUACCGCAUACUAUCGGAUAACCCAUAUGGGAUUAGCUAGUAGGGGGGGUAAAGGCUCACCUAGGCGACGAUCUCUAGCUGGUCUGAGAGGAUGAUCGGCAAAACUGGGACUGGGACACGGCCAAGACUACUACGGAGGCGGAAUGGGGGAAUAUUGCACAAUGGGCGCAAGCCUAAUGCAGCGAUGCCGCGUGUAGGAAGAAGGCCUUAGGGUUGUAAAGUACUUUCAGCGGGAAGGCGUUACCCGCAGAAGAAGCACCGGCUAACUCCGUGCCAGCAGCCGCGGUAAUAC
rnacentral:rRNA from 1 species